GUGUUGCUCUUGACAGGGAACAGAGUGAUGGCCAUUGGGAGCAAGCUGAGCUAGGAGGUGGUGCCUGGAAGCUCCUUCUAUAAUUAUCCAAGGAGAAGGAAAAAGAGGAAAACAGAAAUCUAGAAGUAAAGCUAAGAACCGAGAUACCAUAAACCAGAAAGGGCUAAUAGAUGAGCCCAGAGAAAAGGCAGCACAGCUGGUGAGGAGAACACAGCGAACUAUGCUAAGAGCAGGGUAAGAUACUUAAGACUGCAGCCUGCCGGCGCCAAUAGCAGGGCACCUUCAUGCAGGGGCUCUGUCUGUGUUUCAGGCUCAGAUUACUUAAAGAGCCUUAGUAAGCCAGUCUCCUUCCCUGUGUCUGCCUUCGUCAGCUUGUAUUUUGGCCUUUCUCAUGUUAUCUCAAGUCCUUCUUGUGUGGCAUGCUCAGUAGCUUUAGUUGCAUCUGACUCUGCCCCCCAGGCUCCUCUGUCCAAGAGAUCCUCCAGGCAGGAAUACUGGAGUGAGUUGCUAUGUCCUCCUCCAGGGGCUCUUUCCAACUCAGGGAUCAAACCUGCAUCUCUUAUGUCUCCUGCAUUGGCAGUGCUGCUUGGCCGGCAGGAUCUUAGUUCCCUAACCAGGGAUGGAACCUGUGCCCACUUCAGUGGAAGCAUAGAGUCUUAACCAUUGGACCACCAGGGAAGUCAAAAAAGUGGACAUCCUUGAGCCCCACUGACAGCGAUUCACAUGGAAGAGAAGCCCAUAACCUAGACACAGGAGAAGCAGACAUCGUCUGUGGCAGAAGAAGCACAGCCGGUGGGAGAAGAGUCCUGAGAGACACACAGAGCUAGUCUUCAUUGCUGCUGGAGGACUCCAUAGUUGCAGCGCUUGGGCUUAGUUGCCUGAUGACAUGUGGGAUCUUAGUUCCCUGAACCUGUGUCCCCUGCAUUGGAAGACAGAUUCUCGGCCACUGGACAAGUGGGAAGCCCCAUUGUUUAUUUUAGAUUAGAUCCUAAAUCUACUGUCAUAAAGGAAUGUCAUGCUGCUGCUGCUGCUAAGUUGCUUCAGUUGUGUCCGACUCUGUGCGACCCCAUAGACGGCAGCCCACCAGGCUCCCCAGUCCCUGGGAUUCUCCAGGCAAGAACACUGG
ensembl:lncRNA